UCCAAGGCGACAGUCGGGUUCAUUUUGGGCUAAACUGGGAGGGGGAGAGGAAAGCACAGCCCAUGCUCAUCUGAGGAGGAGUCUCCCCACUUCUCCACUGUGGCUCCGCCCGGGUGGGAAGGAGAGAGCCUUUGGCACAGGGGUGUGCGUGUGAAGUCGGGUCUCAUCCAGGUGCCUGCGCUUCUUCCAAGCUUCUUUACAUAUGGAAUCCAGUGUGUUCUUGAAUGUAAUCUGCCCAGGCGAAAAUGUGGUCACCGGGUGACUCUCACCAUCUACCAGUGAACAACUGACAUGUCCAGAUCCUAAUGAAAACUCCCAAGCGCAGGAAAACGAGGACCACGUGUCCACGGCCUGUUGACGGGAGCGGGGGACGCGGGCGUCUGGGCUUGGCCGCCAGGCACAGCUGCGUGGGCAGCGGCGCUCGCUAGCCCGGCCUGCCCCGUCCUGCGGCUUCUUUACACACGGUGGGUUCCAGUCUCUUCAAGUCAGGACUCUCCUCUUCCUGAGAGUCUGAUUCGAGUUCUGGGCCCUCACUUCUGAAACGUGCGGCGGACACUCACCUGCUGGAGCCCCGGGUCAAUCGGGUGCCGAGGUGGACCUCGAGCGUGCAGCCUUUGGGUGCUCGCCGGCUGGACUCGAACUCCGUGCUCUGACAUGAUGAAAUGGAGUGAGCUGCGAGGCGGCCUAUGAUCACAGCCAACCGUGAGAAUGCUGAUGUCUUCGUGCACUGCAUUCGCCACUUACAAACUCGGCCCUAGGGCCGGGGUUUAGUUCAGUGGUGCCGCCGCCUGCCCUGCAAGUGCAAGGACCGAGUUCGAUCUCCGGUACCAAAAAGAAAAAAAUAUCAUCACUGAGACUGCUGGGUGAUAUUGCGGCAGACAAUCCCUUUUGUGGGGACCACUCUGAAAUAUGGCCCUUCUGUUGCUUAAUCUAAAAUACCUUUUUUAUUCUUGUUUUGGUCGAGUGGUGUAUUUUGAAAAGUCCUGCAUGCCUAUUCUUUGCAGGGCAGGAAUUUUGGGUUGCAGGCUACAUAGAGGGCCCUUUGCAUUAUGUGACCUGAAACCACAUUUCUCCCCAAGUACUCUUUGGAACUUUCUCCUAAAAAUAACUCCAGAAAAAGGUCUUGUCAAAAGCCAUUAAAU
rnacentral:lncRNA from 1 species